GAGCGUGACGCUUUGUGCGUAUUACUUUGCAAAGGUAUUAUAGGUAUUUGAUGCCCUCGCUUU
rnacentral:tRNA from 1 species